ACUAACCAACCAUCCACCCACCCAACCAACAAACCAACCAAUCAACCAACCAGCCAAUUUUGAAACCAUCCAGAGGAAGACUAUUACAGGUAGAAGAAAAUGCAAGAGGAAAUUCCUGGGCUGAUUAAAUGUUCUAGCAAGGAAACAUGAAGCUGGUCCAACGUGCUGCUGGGAUGGCUCCUUGAAGCUUGAACAUGAUGACCUUCAGCAAAGGAGGUGGAGAUGUACAGAGGAGGAGACCGUUAGUUCCCUGAGUGAAGAGAUGCUAUCUUGGUAUCUCCAGCUUCCAACCGGGGGCUUGGCACAGAAUAGGGGCUUGGUAAAUGUUUUCCAAAUGAAUGGGAUGUCUGAUGGAAAGAAGACAAGGUGAAGGAAUUCCUGGGUAAUAUGGAGAUGAGAAUCUGUGAGAAGGAUACAUGUACUGAUGCCUGUCGCGGUGGACACACAGACGCACACAUUGCGGAACACCACCAUAAGAAUAUUGAGAAUAUCGAGAACACUUCAAUAUUCCAAACUUCAAUGGAAAUAUACGAACUGGAGUACACUCUUCUUCUGCCCUUGGACAUCAGGCUCUCUGGCCUUUGGACUCCAGGACUUAUACCAGCGCCCCUCUGGGUUCUCAGGCCUCUGUACUUGAACUGAGCCACACUGCCAGCAUGCCAGCUUCUCCAGCUUGCCAGGCCUGCUGUGGGACUUCUCAGCCUCCAUAAUCAUGUGUGCCAAUUCCCCUAAUA
rnacentral:lncRNA from 1 species